CCUACCAGAAGCUUUUCAAAGAAUCUUAAUCUUUCUGAUCAGAAGUCACUACUAUUUUUGACUACACUUGUCCAACUCAAGAGAUACAACCUAGGCUCUGCAUUUCUUGGUGACAAGACUCGUACAUCUGGUUGCAGACAUCACCAUAAUUAGACUGCGUCAGUUGUGCCCAUUGAGGCUGUCUCAGCAGUCUGGGUUCAACCCACCUCAGAGAUUAUGAAGAAUUACUGUAGGGCAGCAUGCACUGACAUGACAGAUAGAAGGCUUCAAUUGCACCUGCAAUCAGACUCGCCUACGCCAUCCAAGUGGAAAAUGGAAGUGGAUAAAAAGGACACAGUAUGCACUCUUGUUGGUUUGUGGCCUGGAGCCCUGAGUCAGAAGCCACUCCAUCUUUGAGCUGCAUUAGGGGAAUCCCAAAACCUGGGUCCAGCCCUGCAUCUUGCUCAGUAUGUGACAGUGUCAUUUAAUGUAUUUUGCAGCAUCAUUUAGUUACCUAAAUAUAAAUACAGGAGUAACUUUGAUUUUAACAUUAAUUUACUUAGAACAAAUCACUUUGGAGGAACUUGAUGGUUUUCCCUUUUUUGUCUGCUUUGAGCAUCUUUUCAUUUAUCUCCCUAUUUUAGAUUCUCGGAAGUCUAUUUCAAUUUCCAGGAUCAGUUUUCCAUUUGUGGAUAAAAUGCAUUUUAUAUUUAACAGCUAUGGGAAUAUGUACUGAGCCCAGAUUACACUCAUGCCAUGCUUGGACUGACUAGAAGAGGUGGAUGUUUCUUCCUUCUUACUUUGGACUGGAAAGAAUCCAUCUGACCAUUUGUGGAAGGCUUGACAAUAAUAGCUAAACAAAGCUUUGUAGUCUUGCAUAUUUUGUAAUCUUAUUCACUAGUCACAUAAGAUAUCUUCAGUGUUUAUUGGAGAUGCAGCAGGGUCAGGGCUUUUGUGUUGUCUUUCAGUUUAUCCCCAGAUGUCUGUUUUCCCAGUGAAUAAAAGUGUAAACAGGACAGUGAGAGGAUGGCUUGUUUUCCAGAUUCCAGUCUCUUUGUUAAAGUUAUUCAUCUCAGAAUAACUGCGUAAACAUUUUGGAAAAGAUAAAUUUUCCUGAAAUAUUUGUGGUUUGAAUUUGUUUUCCUUGAUAAAGAACAUACAUUGAAACAGUCUUGAUGAGCUCAAUUCACUGCUUUGGGAGGCAACACAUCUUAAAAAUCUUUUAAGUGUGUGUGUAUAUAUUUAUAUUUCAUUUUUCUUUGUAUUUUGCUUUUAUUCUCAUUGGAAGGUUGCUCCGGUACCUGGCUGCUCUAAUGCUACAGCAGCCUGACUUAAUUCAUGGCCAGUUUAAGCCACUUGUUUCACUGCCAGUAUUAUAGCCUUGAGACGAGUCCUGGUUUGUUGCUGUGUAUUAAUAUUUAGUCAUAAGGAUAAUCAAUGUGCGUGACCUAUUCUGUGGUUAGAAAAAUAAAUAAAAGAGAAAAAAGCACUUGAUUUUUGCUCCUGGGUAGAAGUUCCAAGUAAGUGUUCCUAACAGGCAGUGUUCACGUAAUUGGUUCCCAUUGCUGUGCUGAUACUAAGUAAUAAAUAACUGGGGAACUGAUGUGGCUGAGAAAACAGAAUUUGUACUGGACUGCUUUUAUUUCUUCUCAAAUAGUCAGUUUUCAUCAUGGCUGCCACACACACAUUUGCAGCAGUGAAAUAUGGAAAGCAUUGUCAAGGACAGUAACUUUCAGAUAAUACAAAGAGGCAUGGAGAUGACCUAAACAAGCUGAGUAACAUAUUUGUUCGUUCAGUACUUUUGUCUCCAGAUGCUGCCUUGAAUUAUGUUGACCUAUGGUGGUAUGAAAGUAUGAUUGUCUUUACUGGUUUUGCUAUUGGAGUAGCUCACAUGUAUUUUCUAUUUUAGGGUUUUACAGUGUGUAUUUUUAACUGAGGAGGUAGGGAAGUGAUCAUGUGCACUCCAAAGCAAUUAUGUUCCAAAAAACAAUGAAUGGGAGACUUCAUAGAUCAAAGCAUGGUGUGAUGUCUUAUGAUGGUGUGUUAUCUGAAAGAUGCCAAAUGCCCAAAGAGAAGCUGGGAAUUUUAUUUUUCGAAGUCUUAGUAUAAGACUGAAUAGCUUCAGUUAUGAAGUAUUGCUUUAGUGUCCUGCAGUUGAGACAGGGAACUUCUCCCACAACAUUUGAAUUAUUUUUUGCAAGCUUAUGUAAUAGAUUUCAUUAAUUGUGUCUAUUAGGGAAACUGUUUACCAAAACUAUGUUCUACGGUGACUAGUUGCUGUGUAGAUACCUUAAGGUAAGAAGUAUCUGGGAAAUAAGAUUUAAACAACUUAUAUAGCAGGAGUUUGCAUCUGACUCAACGGUUUAAUAGAGUGUAGGCAAGAGGCUGUGCAAAAGCUAUUACAAAAUCAAAAUAUAAGUAAAAUCCAAGCAGUUAGUGUGCAACAGGGGCUUAGAUUUGGAAUGUCAGCACCCACCCACCUGCUCUUUGCUGAAGGCCUAACACAUUGUGAAGCUGGAAAGAAGUGUUCAUUGACUCUGAAAACGUGGCUAAACUGUGGUGUAAAGUCUGUCCCCAAAACUAGCAAUUACAGAACUUCAAGUGAGGUCUUGUACAUGAGAAGAUAGGGUUUUAAUAACAACCAUAUUUUUGUCAGGAAUUUGGCAGCCUAACAGUUUAACAACUCUGAACAGAGGUUAGCACUUUAAAUAACAUUUCUUAGAGAAUUUUGGCUAUUUCAUUCCUAAUGCAGCUGUAUUGAUAUUUCAGUGGCAUUUUACAGAAUCACAGAAUGGCCAGGGUUGGAAGGGACCUCAAGGAUCAUGAAUCUCCAACCCCCCUGCCAUGUGCAGGGCCACCAACCUCCCAUUUAAUGCUAUACCAGGCUGCCCAGGGCCCCAUCCAAUCUGGCCUUGAACGCUUCCAGGAACGGGGCAUCCACAACCUCUCUGGGCAUUUUUCUGUACUAUUUGAAGCUACAGGAUAUAUAAAUGAAGAAAAAAAUGAAUGGGGCAGAAAGUGUUGUAUUGACUUUUUUGAUGCAGAGAAAAAUGGGUUAGAUGGUACCUAGCUGUGCCUUUACUAUUUGCAGCUUGUAGACAUGUCUUUACAGCGAGGAGGGAGGAGCGUUUGGAAAGCAGUUUCCCUGAAGAAAAUUCAGAGGGAGAACAGCAUGUGAGGUCUGUGGAGUUCAAGAUCUUGUUCUACUUCCUGCCAAAGCAAAGAAAAAAAAAUGAAUUGGCUUUACUACCAGAGAUAGACUUGAUUGGUUAGUCUCAAAAAAUGAACUCUCAAAGUCUUCAGUGGAAAUGAGAUUUGGUGGGAACAGUAUGAAUGAUUUACUAGGGUCAGUGGCCUGGAGAAUAAGGAUAAGCCUCCUGCGUUAGGAGCAGAAAUUUCAAAGAAUGUGGGGAACAUGCAGAUCCAUGAGGGAAAACAAUAAAUUACCCUACAGUGGAGAGGGAGAGCUUGUUGAACAAGAUGCCUUCUCCUUUCCGGGAGGAAUAGCUCUAUUCGUAAGAUGUUGCACAAAGCUGUCUGCAGCUCUGCCAAGCUCUACUCUCAGAUGAGUCCAGAAUCAUGGCACUGAGUUAAAAACCCAAGAACUGUGCAGGUGGAAGGGCCUUCCAAAGGUCUGCACUCCAACCAACUGCUCACAGCAGCUCACACUGGUUCACUCAGGGCUUUACCUAGUAUGGUCUUAGAAACUUCUCAUUGAGACUUCUCUGAUUGAGACAGCACAGCCUCAGUGUGUCAUCAAUUCAAGAAAGCUGAAGUCUUCCAACUUAAACAGGAAGGCAUCAGAGUGUUUCAAGUAGUGU